rnacentral:rRNA from 1 species
GACGAACGCUGGCGGCGUGCCUAAUACAUGCAAGUCGAACGCAGUGGGGACGGGUGAGUAACACGUGGGUAACCUCCCAUCAGAGGGGAUAACACUUGGAAACAGGUGCUAAAACGAUACUGAUGGAUGACCCCGGUGUGCAUUAGCUAGUUGGUGAGGUAACGUCUAACCAAGGGCACGAUGCAUAGCCGACCGGAGAGGGUGAGCGGCCACACUGAGACUGAGACACGGCCCAGACUCCUACGGGAGGAAGCAGUAGGGAAUCGUCGGCAAUGGACGAAAGUCGGACCGAGCAACGCCUCGUGAGUGAAGAAGGUUUUCGGAUCGUAAAACUCUGUUGUUAGAGAAGCGGUAUCUAACCAGAAAGCCACGGCGAACUACGUGCCAGCAGCCGCGGUAAUUC